rnacentral:rRNA from 1 species
UGCAAAGGUAGCACAAUCACUUGUUCUUUAAAUGAGGACUAGAAUCAACGGCAUCACGAGGAUCCCACUGUCUCCCCCCUCCAAUCAGUGAAACUGAUCUCUCCGUGAAGAAGCGGGGAUAUAAAUAUAAGACGAGAAGACCCCAUGGAGCUUUAAACCCAACAGCACCCGUUUAUUUUCAUCCUCACAUAAGUUAGGUUAUGCCUGUUUGGUUUUAGGUUGGGGUGACCACGGAGUAUAAAACAACCUCCAUGAAAAAAGGACCAAAAAUCCUUAUUAGAGAAAGACAUUUCUAAAAUUAAUAAAUUAAUUUUUAAUGAUCCGAUAUUCGAU